UACGUAGGGGGCAAGCGUUGUCCGGAUUUAUUGGGCGUAAAGAGCGCGCAGGCGGUCGUUCAAGUCGCGUGUGAAAGCCCCCGGCUCAACUGGGGAGGGUCACGCGAUACUGAUCGACUCGAAGGCAGGAGAGGGUAGUGGAAUUCCCGGUGUAGUGGUGAAAUGCGUAGAUAUCGGGAGGAACACCAGUGGCGAAGGCGACUACCUGGCCUGUUUCUUGACGCUGAGGCGCGAAAGCUAGGGGAGCAAACGGG
rnacentral:rRNA from 1 species